CGCUGUUAGCGCUGCUCGCGCUGCUGGGAGGCUGCGGCGGCGGCGGCGGCGGCGCCGCGGCACUGCCCGCCUGCUGCAAGCACGAUGGGCGUCCCCGAGGGGCUGGCAGGGCGGCGGGCGCCGCCGAGGGCAAGGUGGUGUGCAGCAUCCUGGAGCUCGCGCAGGUCCUGCCCCCAGAUACUCUGCCCAACCGCACGGUCACCCUGAUUCUGAGUAACAAUAAGAUAUCCGAGCUGCAGAAUGGCUCAUUUUCUGGGUUAACUCUCCUUGAAAGAUUGGACCUCCGAAACAAUCUUAUUAGUCGUAUAGAUCCAGGUGCCUUUUGGGGACUGUCAUCUCUAAAAAGGUUGGAUCUGACAAACAAUCGAAUAGGAUGUCUGAAUGCAAACAUAUUUCGAGGACUCACCAAUCUGGCUCGGCUAAACCUUUCGGGGAAUUUGUUUUCUUCAUUACCUCAAGGAACUUUUGAUUAUCUUUCCUCAUUACGGUCUUUGGAAUUCCAGACUGAGUAUCUUUUGUGUGACUGUAACCUACUGUGGAUGCAUCGCUGGGUAAAGGAGAGGAACAUCACGGUACAGGAUACCAGGUGUGUUUAUCCUAAGUCACUGCAGGCCCAACCAGUCACAGGCGUGAAGCAGGAGCUGUUGACAUGCGACCCUCCGCUUGAAUUGCCGUCUUUCUACAUGACUCCAUCUCAUCGCCAAGUUGUGUUUGAAGGAGACAGCCUUCCUUUCCAGUGCAUGGCUUCAUAUAUUGAUCAGGACAUGCAAGUGUUGUGGUAUCAGGAUGGGAGAAUAGUUGAAACCGAUGAAUCGCAAGGUAUUUUUGUUGAAAAGAACGUGAUUCACAACUGCUCCUUGAUUGCAAGUGCCCUAACCGUUUCUAAUAAUCAGGCUGGAUCUACUGGAAAUUAGGGCUGUCAUGUCCAGACCAAACGUGGGAAUAAUACGAGGACUGUGGAUAUUGUGGUAUUAGAGAGUUCUGCACAGUACUGUCCUCCAGAGAGGGUGGUAAACAACAAAGGUGAUUUCAGAUGGCCCAGAACAUUGGCGGGCAUUACUGCGUAUCUGCAGUGUACGCAGAACACCCAUGGCAGUGGGAUAUAUCCCGGAAACCCACAGGAUGAGAGAAAAGCUUGGCGCAGAUGUGAUAGAGGCGGCUUUUGGGCAGAUGAUGAUUAUUCUCGCUGUCAGUAUGCAAAUGAUGUCACUAGAGUUCUUUAUAUGUUUAAUCAGAUGCCCCUCAAUCUUACCAAUGCCGUGGCAACAGCUCUACAGUUACUGGCUUACACUGUGGAAGCAGCCAACUUUUCUGACAAAAUGGAUGUUAUAUUUGUGGCGGAAAUGAUUGAAAAACUUGGAAGAUUUACCAAAGAGGAAAAAUCAAAAGAGGUACUUUUCUAAAUUCAGAUUUGUAGCAUACAGUGUCAACAAAUGGUAGUGUGACAGAGUUCAAUCUGUAUAUUUUAAGGCCUGUUUAUGUUUAUCAUAUUUGAACUAAAAGCACGCUUUUAAAUUUCCAGAAUUUUGUGGAGAUACUUCUGCCUCUUCUCUUAUAAUGACCUGUUUGUUACUGGGACUGGGAGAGAUGAACUCUCAGUUCCUGGACAUUAAGGUCCAGAGAUAUAGCAGAGGUUGCUGGUGAGAAAGUAGUGCUCUGCCUCCACACUGUGGCUUAGGCAGGGCUGCUUAGCUCAGCCUGCUGGAUUUCUCUUCUCCACACACCCCUGAGCUCAUCUUUUGUAACGGGAGUUUUAGUCACCCAGAUCUUGUAGUAAAUUCCUUUUAAUUGUCCUUGUAAUGUCCUAGAGAAAUGAGAGGCUGUUUAGGCGCUUUUUUGAAAUUCAAAAUGAUUGGACUAUAUAAGUUUUAAAAAUGCAGUGAAUUCUACAAGUGGUGUAUUUUACCUUAACGGGACCACAUUGAAACCAUGAUAUGCUUGUCCACAUGAUAUCUUCUAGGGGAAAGAAAUUGACAAGCACAGUUUACAGAAUGAAUGAGCAGCAAAUUAAUGCUUUGAAUAAUUUUUAAGGGGCAGAAUUAUUGUGUUCUUAAGCUUUAUGUUUAAAGCUUUGUGAGAACUUUAUAUGUACAAUUUCUUUUGUGAUAUAAUCACUUAUAAAGAAAUGAAUUAUAGAGGUAGAGGGAACCUCAAGCAAGUUGUAAACUGAAGCCCACGCUUAGGUUAGGGCAGGCCUGAAAACAGAACCCAAGAUCCCUGACUCAUCCAUAAGAGUUUUCUGUAGCAUCACAUUCACCUUCUCAUACAAUGUGGCCCUGACUUGCAAUUCUAAAAGUGCUUUGUAUACAACUGUGGGGAAAACACUGGGCUGAACAAAACCUGCAUAUUUCUUUAUGUAGAACUUCUCAGAUCCAUUAAUAUUGCUAAAAUGUAAAUAAUAAGCCUUGUUUUCCUAAAUCAUUCUAAUAUAUUUUUAUAUAUCAAUUAUAUAUACACACACUUAUAUAUCACAUAUAUAUUCUAAUAUAUAAUAUAUAUUUAGAUAUAUCUAAUAUGUAUAUCACAUAUUUAUAUAACUAAUAUAGAUAUAUUCUUAUAUAUAAUAUAUAUAUAAGAAUUAGUAUCUUGCAUUCUGGUAAUAAGUUUUUGGAACUGUGGCCCUAGUGCAUUAGGCACUUUACUUGAUAGGAUGUAGUUAUUAAAGGAAGGAAAAUAGAUAUAUGUAUAUAAACGAGACUUAGGCAGAUGGGCCACCUCACUUGUCAGCGGGAUAAUAUUUCAUUGGUUUUCUGAACUUCAGGGGCCAUGAUUUUCUAAUAACUGCUCCUGAUACUUGUGUCUCCAGGGCACAGCCCACUUUCCUGCAGUGAAUGUUCCUUGCACUGGGAGAGGCCGUUUGGAUUCUGGCUCUGUGAUUAAUAUUGUGCUCCAUUGUUGCUUAAGAUGAUGGGUUAGCUGCCCACAGGAUUAGCAGUCAUUUCUGGGAGUGGGAUGUUUCUAGUUACUAGAAUAAUUGUAAUGACAUUUGGAAUGUGGACAUGGAAGAACAUUCGCCAUCGAAGAAUACAUAUUUAUGAUGUGACCCUGUUUUGCUCACCUCUCAACUUGAGCAACAUGGUGUCCAGAGGUGUAUGUUGAACUGUUUGCCAGCGUGUGGAAGAAUGGUUGACUGCGUUGACGGGUUUCUUAGGUGGAAGCAUCGUAUUGAACUGGAAGUAGACGUGAUUUCAUUAGUUAUUAAUUAACCAUGGGCUUAUUCUUCAUUUAUCAAAUGGGGAUGCUAUUUUCUCUGUAUAAUUUGAAAAGUGUAUGUGCACAAAUACAGGUGAACAAUUUUGCAAAAUAGUUGCAAAGCUUGGUUAUCAUUUUAUUAGGUUAUGAAAUAAAACAUUUUUAUGACCUCA
ensembl:lncRNA novel transcript